GUGACUGCGUACCUUUUGUAUAAUGGGUCAGCGACUUAUAUUCUGUAGCAAGGUUAACCGAAUAGGGGAGCCGGAGGGAAACCGAGUCUUAACCGGGCGUUAAGUUGCAGGGUAUAGACCCGAAACCCGGUGAUCUAGCCAUGGGCAGGUUGAAGGUUGGGUAACACUAACUGGAGGACCGAACCGACUAAUGUUGAAAAAUUAGCGGAUGACCUGUGGCUGGGGGUGAAAGGCCAAUCAAACCGGGAGAUAGCUGGUUCUCCCCGAAAGCUAUUUAGGUAGCGCCUCGUGAAUUCAUCUCCGGGGGUAGAGCACUGUUUCGGCUAGGGGGCCAUCCCGGCUUACCAACCCGAUGCAAACUGCGAAUACCGGAGAAUGUUAUCACGGGAGACACACGGCGGGUGCUAACGUCCGUCGUGAAGAGGGAAACAACCCAGACCGCCAGCUAAGGUCCCAAAGUCAUGGUUAAGUGGGAAACGAUGUGGGAAGGCCCAGACAGCCAGGAUGUUGGCUUAGAAGCAGCCAUCAUUUAAAGAAAGCGUAAUAGCUCACUGGUCGAGUCGGCCUGCGCGGAAGAUGUAACGGGGCUAAACCAUGCACCGAAGCUGCGGCAGCGAC
rnacentral:rRNA from 1 species